rnacentral:rRNA from 1 species
UACGGGGGGGGGCAAGCGUUGUUCGGAAUUACUGGGCGUAAAGGGCGCGUAGGCGGCCUGCUAAGUCGGACGUGAAAUCCCUCGGCUCAACCGGGGAACUGCGUCCGAUACUGGCGGGCUGGAGGGGGGAUAGGGGUGCGCGGAACUUCCGGUGGAGCGGUGAAAUGCGUAGAUAUCGGAAGGAACGCCGGUGGCGAAAGCGGCGCACUGGAUCCCCACUGACGCUGAGGCGCGAAAGCCAGGGGAGCAAACGGG